rnacentral:misc_RNA from 1 species
AAAAAAAAAAAAAAAAUUGAAAACCAGUUCUGCAAAGUUAUGGAACUGAAAUGCUAAAUGAAUACUUGGGUCUCAUCCUCUUGCUUUUAUCAUUUGCUUAGAGGACUACAGAGAAUAGUGCAAUGAAUAGACUUAACAAUAUAAGAUCAUCUUCUCCAUUGAGCUCAUGAUACUUCUCCCUUGAGCUCAUGAUACCAUGUCCAUGCAAAAUAUAAUGAAUGAGAUGCAUUAGAAGAUCAUGCUUCCAACUAUAGGAUGACAUGUACUAUGAAGGACAAACAACGAGCAACUCAUGCCUUAGCAUCCUCUUUGUCAGGAUUCCCACAAGGCUCUUCUUAUAAUUUUCUUAUCAGGUCAAAAUUAUAACACAAUGAUAGCAAUUGUUAAACUAUUAAAAUUAGUUCACUCCACAAUCUAAGCCAAAUUUCUCCUAUUCCAUCAACUAAUUGAAAGAUUCCAUCAACUACAGAUGCCCAUCGAUUAAAUUCGAACAGAAUUCAAAUAAGAAACACAUUUGAAGAGAAAUUAACUACAAAACAA